rnacentral:sRNA from 1 species
GCUGGCUGAGGAGAAUGUGGAGCUGGAGCUGGAGCUUCAGCGGAGCUUGGAGCCACCUCCAGGAUCCCCUGGGGAGGCACCCCUGGCAGGAGCGGCCCCCUCGCUGCAAGAUGAGGUGAGGGAGGCAGAGGCUGGGCGGCUUCGGACACUUGAGAGGGAGAACCGGGAGCUUCGGGGGCUGCUUCAGGUGCUUCAGGGGCAGCCAGGGGGCCAGCACCUCCUGCUGGAGGCGCCAAGAGAGGACCCUGUGCUUCCGGUGCUGGAGAAGGCUCCCCAGACUCCUGUGGCCUCCGACCACAGCCCUCAGGGCUUGGUUCAGAAGGCAAGCGAUGGAGGCCCCCAGGCCUUGGACUUGGCUCCCCCAGCAUUAGACUCAGUGCUCGAGGGGUCAGCUGAGUGUCCCCAGGCACCUGAUUCAGACCCACAGGAGGCAGAGAGUUCCCUUCAGACAGCUGCCAUGGACCCCCAGGCCUCAGACUGGUCCCCCCAAGAGUCAGGCUCUCCUGUGGAGACACAGGAGUCCCCGGAGAAGGCUGGCCAUAGAUCCUCUCUCCAGAGCCCUGCCUCUGUGGCCCCACCUCAGAGUCCAGGGACCAAAAUUCAGGCCCCGCAGUUACUGGGAGGAGAGACCAACGGAAGAGAGGCUCCCCAAGGUGAAUUGGUGCCUGAGGCCUGGGGGUUGAGACAGGAGGGCCCUGAGCACAAGCCAGGGCCUUCGGAGCCCAGCUCUGUGCAGCUGGAGGAGCAGGAGGGCCCAAACCAGGGCCUGGACCUGGCCACGGGACAAACAGAGGCCAGAGAGCAUAACCAGAGGCUGGAAGGGACGGUCGGGGACCCAGCCUGGCAAAAACCACAGCAGAAGUCAGAAGGGGCUCUUGAGGUCCAGGCCUGGGAAGGCCCAAUCCCAGGCGAGAGCCUGGCCAGUGGUGUCGCAGAGCAGGAGGCCCUCAGGGAGGAGGUGGCACAGUUGAGGAGAAAGGCUGAGGCCCUUGGAGCUGAGCUGGAAGCCCAGGCCCGCAAGCUGGAGGCCCAAGACACGGAGACUGCCCGCCUCUCCAAGGAGCUGGCCCAAGCGCGAAGGGCAGAGGCCGAGGCCCACCGGGAGGCAGAGGCCCAGGCCUGGGAGCAAGCCCGGCUGCGGGAGGCAGUGGAGGCUGCCGGCCGGGAGCUGAAGGCUGCGUCCCAGGAACGGGAGGCGCUGGUGGAGGCGCUGGCAGCAGCGGGCCGGGAGAGGAGGCAGUGGGAGCGUGAGGGGUCCAGGCUGCGGGCCCAGUCGGAGGCCACCGAGGAACGGAUGCAGGCGCUGGAGAGCGAGGGCCGCCAGCACUUGAAGGAGGCUGAGAAGGAGCGCCGGGAGAAGGAGGCCCUCCAGGCGGAGCUGGAGAAAGCUGUGGUGCGGGGCAAGGAAUUGGGGGCCCGGCUGGAGCAUCUGCAGCGUGAGCUGGAGCAGGCGGCUCUCGAGCGCCGGGAAUUUCUGCGAGAACAGGAAAGCCAGCACCAGAGGUACCAGGGCUUGGAGCAGCGGCUGGAAGCUGAGCUGCAGGCGGCGGCGACCAGCAAGGAGGAGGCGCUGAUGGAGCUCAAGACCAGGGCCCUGCAGCUGGAAGAGGAGCUGUUCCAGAACUUCUGCUGUGGAUGACUGCUCCGCCUGUCUCACCCGAGGUCCCCCACUGUCUAGGGAGCUCAGUGCUUGGCAUCAAGGAAGCCAGCGAUGGUUUCUGAUGCCCAGGCUGUGUGCGGGCUCCAUACGGAGGGUGGGGUGGUGGUGGGGCCCAAUCCCAGGCUGCCAUCCUCAGGGAGCUCACAGUCCAGUCAGGAUAGAGGCAAGAAAACAGGUGACAAUAACUAGGUGCCACGGGCUGUGAGGAGGCCAUGCAGGGGCUUGGGAGGGUGGCACCCAGCAAGAUACCCAGCAAGUGCACGUGAGUCAAUCAGGGAAGGUUUUGUGGAGAAGGUGGGGUUGAAACAGGCUUAGAGAAGGCCCCACACAGUGGCUCACGCCUGUAAUCCCAGCACUUUGGGAGGCCAAGGCGGGUGGAUCACCUGAGGUCAGGAGUUCGAGACCAGCGUGACCAAUAUGGUGAAACCCCAUUUCUACUAAAAAUACAAAA